rnacentral:rRNA from 1 species
AUUGAACGCUGGCGGCAGGCCUAACACAUGCAAGUCGAGCGAGCGGCGGACGGGUGAGUAAUGUCUGGGAAACUGCCUGAUGGAGGGGGAUAACUACUGGAAACGGUAGCUAAUACCGCAUACCAUCAAUUUUUCCACGAUGGGAUUAGCUUGUAGGUGGGGUAAUGGCUCACCAAGGCAACGUUCCCUAGCUGGUCUGAGAGGAUGACCAGCCACACUGGAACUUAGACACGGUCCAGACUCCUACGGGAGGCAGCAGUGGGGAAUAUUGCACAAUGGGCGCAAGCCUGAUGCAGCCAUGCCGCGUGUAUGAAGAAGGCCUUCGGGUUGUAAAGUACUUUCAGCGAGGAGGCGUUACUCGCAGAAGAAGCACCGGCUAACUCCGUGCCAGCAGCCGCGGUAAUUC